rnacentral:rRNA from 1 species
UACGGUGCUGAAGCAACAAAUGCCCUGCUUCCAGGAAAAGCCUCUAAGCAUCAGGUAACAUCAAAUCGUACCCCAAACCGACACAGGUGGUCAGGUAGAGAAUACCAAGGCGCUUGAGAGAACUCGGGUGAAGGAACUAGGCAAAAUGGUGCCGUAACUUCGGGAGAAGGCACGCUGAUAUGUAGGUGAAGUCCCUCGCGGAUGGAGCUGAAAUCAGUCGAAGAUACCAGCUGGCUGCAACUGUUUAUUAAAAACACAGCACUGUGCAAACACGAAAGUGGACGUAUACGGUGUGACGCCUGCCCGGUGCCGGAAGGUUAAUUGAUGGGGUCAGCGCAAGCGAAGCUCUUGAUCGAAGCCCCGGUAAACGGCGGCCGUAACUAUAACGGUCCUAAGGUAGCGAAAUUCCUUGUCGGGUAAGUUCCGACCUGCACGAAUGGCGUAAUGAUGGCCAGGCUGUCUCCACCCGAGACUCAGUGAAAUUGAACUCGCUGUGAAGAUGCAGUGUACCCGCGGCAAGACGGAAAGACCCCGUGAACCUUUACUAUAGCUUGACACUGAACAUUGAGCCUUGAUGUGUAGGAUAGGUGGGAGGCUUUGAAGUGUGGACGCCAGUCUGCAUGGAGCCGACCUUGAAAUACCACCCUUUAAUGUUUGAUGUUCUAACGUGGACCCGUGAUCCGGGUUGCGGACAGUGUCUGGUGGGUAGUUUGACUGGGGCGGUCUCCUCCUAAAGAGUAACGGAGGAGCACGAAGGUUGGCUAAUCCUGGUCGGACAUCAGGAGGUUAGUGCAAUGGCAUAAGCCAGCUUGACUGCGAGCGUGACGGCGCGAGCAGGUGCGAAAGCAGGUCAUAGUGAUCCGGUGGUUCUGAAUGGAAGGGCCAUCGCUCAACGGAUAAAAGGUACUCCGGGGAUAACAGGCUGAUACCGCCCAAGAGUUCAUAUCGACGGCGGUGUUUGGCACCUCGAUGUCGGCUCAUCACAUCCUGGGGCUGAAGUAGGUCCCAAGGGUAUGGCUGUUCGCCAUUUAAAGUGGUACGCGAGCUGGGUUUAGAACGUCGUGAGACAGUUCGGUCCCUAUCUGCCGUGGGCGCUGGAGAACUGAGGGGGGCUGCUCCUAGUACGAGAGGACCGGAGUGGACGCAUCACUGGUGUUCGGGUUGUCAUGCCAAUGGCACUGCCCGGUAGCUAAAUGCGGAAGAGAUAAGUGCUGAAAGCAUCUAAGCACGAAACUUGCCCCGAGAUGAGUUCUCCCUGACCCUUUAAGGGUCCUGAAGGAACGUUGAAGACGACGACGUUGAUAGGCCGGGUGUGUAAGCGCAGCGAUGCGUUGAGCUAACCGGUACUAAUGAACCGUGAGGCUUAACCUU